CUUUCAUUUCAAGGAAAAGAAAACAAAUCAUUUCUCCUCCGCAAUCUGCACACUCUAUUAGUCUAUUUGGUUCACGCACUCCAUGCCAACUCUAAUUCCUGUUUAAAACCUAGAAUUUGAACUCCAUCACCGUCUUCAUAGACAAACUCUUUCUUCAUGACCUCUCUCCCUUCCACGCACUCUUCCUCCUUUCCAUCCUCUCAUCUCCGAUCCCUUCUCGGAGAGCACGAUGCAGUUGUUCGCUCUCCGCGCUACCAACGAGAGGCGAUGCACAAAAGAAUGGCUCCGUAAUUCUCAGGUGAUCUCCGAGUCGACGAUAAUCCAGGGCUUGUAGCCGCCUCCGACUAUCAGGCCGUGGUUCCUCUCUACGUCUUCGAUCCUCGGAUUCUUUCUCGGUCUGAUGACUACUUGACUAUACGUGAUGCGAAAGAUGCCUCAACAACAUCAUUAGUGGGAGUAAAACUGUGUUAUGCCAUGAUAUACUGCAACGAGAGAAAUGUCAAGUCUGAUUUCAUGUUUUGAUUUGAAAUUCUUAUUGACUGACUUUUCUGACAAUUUGUACAGGUGAUUCUGAUGAAAUGCUGGAACUGCUUCUUUUUGCAUUGAGAGAUUUAAGAAAGCCGUUGUAGGAAUAAGGGUCUAAUCUGAUGAUGAGGUUCGGGAGAGCAGAAAGUGUCAUGCAAGAGCUCUUAAAAGAGGUCCUUACUUAUAUUUGCUAACUGUGCUACUAUAAGAGUGUGUGAAGAGUUUUUUUCUUUCAUUUACUGAUUUCAUCCAGAGGACUUGAACAGGUGAAAACAACUCAUAUAUUUUCUGAAGAAGAGGUAUAGUACAUCUGUGCGAGAUUAUGUAUCUUGUUGAACAUAUGUUCGCAACUAUACUUUCCCCUGAGAGGAGUCCUGGGAAAUUUUUUGUCAGACCCCCUUCUAUGAUAUUGAGGUGGCUUUCUUUUGCAGCUCUUUGGUGCUUGUUAUAUGAAUUUAUGUUCUAAGGCCACUGUCCCCAGGAUGAGCAGCAGCCAGAAGAAGUGAGUUUGAUCAUUAGUGAAUGGGUAAUGGCAGCUGAAAGCAAAAUUCUGGCUUAGAGAUGAUUGUCGUGCUGUUGGUGCUUCACAGCUUCUUGUAUUUGUAAGACCACUUUCUUUGCCUCUAUCCCUCUCUUUCUUGAUUUUUUAUAGCCCUUCAUUACCACUCCUAAGGUGGACUAAGGUGGAAUUGGAUAUUUUUACCCACUCACAUCUACACACACCACCUCAUUGUUUCCUUGCAUAUUUAGACCUGCACUCAUAUUUACACCCAAGACCUUGAUAAUCUUUUGACUAUUAAUCCUGCUCCCAUUCAUCAACUCAUUCCUCUCUUGCAUACUUCACCGCCACUAAUUUCAGCAUGCCCUUCAUUUCCUUCAAUGCACUCAACAGUGUCUCUUCUGCUCUUUCUCAAUUUUCUAGGCUAUCCCUUUUUCUAGGCUAAGCAUAUGUUAAUGUUCUGUUUCGUCAUGAAAAACAAUAUAGCUGUGAAUGAGUAAUACACAUACCUAAGCAUAUGUUCAUUUUCA